rnacentral:lncRNA from 1 species
ACCUUACCAAGUAAUCCAUUGAUCUUAUUAGGAUUCUUUUGCAAAUUAGAGAGGAUUCUAGGUUGGUGUUUAUUUAUCAUUGCCAAAGUCUGAUGCAUCUGUGAAGGAGUUUUGUAGAGCAUCUUUCAAGAAAUUCAAUGCUAGGAUAGAGGUAGAGAGGUUUAUAAGCACCAAGUCUAGUAAUUGCUUCUUUCUUUCUAUUGGGAUGUCCUUGAGUUUGUUGUGAAUUAAAAUAAACCUUCAUUAGUUAGAAGACAAUUAUCAUCUACAAAUGAGUUUUCAUUUAAAAAUUCAUUCAUUCAACUUUCAUCCAUA